UGGGGAAGCACCUGAGGAGAAAGGGAGCUCUGGAGGAAGGGAAGUUUCCUAGGCAUCUGAACUAGGCAGAAAUGCUGCUCCUACAGCAGAAAGAAAAGCAAUUACAGACCUCUCCUGACAGGAAGGCCUGGGAGAGACCGUGCCCAGAAAAGACCUGCAGAUCUCUCCAGGCAGCAGGGUCAUCUGAGGCCUUAUAGCAGGAGGAAAUGCUGCUACUGCUGGAGCCCAGGGACUUCUGGUUUAGGACUUUUAUGUUUUAUCUAAGGAUGAUUUACAUUGCCUUACAACUGACAAGACAUCUCCAGCUCAAGAACUACAGUAUCCGUUUAAUUGACAAACUCCAGCACGUAUGUUAAAAAGCAGCUAAAGUGAGUGGGAGUGGAGACAGCUGCAUUAACCUAUCAGCAAGCAGUGGGCACUAUAUGUUAUACUGGUUGCAGCAUCAGUUUGAAGCCAUGCGUGUUGAGUCUCUUACAGAGCUGUUGUACGCAUGUACCCAUACGGAUUAUACAGGCACCAGAUCUUUUUCACAAUUCCCUUGCUGUGACUGGCACUAGUUCAGCGCCCCUUUCUGCUCCAGCCCUGGUGACCUUCAUGCUGAUUUAGAAAAGCACCUGACUUCAGAGCUCAAGACAUCCUCCUGUUCCAGACCUGAAUCUAUUUUAGCAGAUACUGCCAGGAGAGCAGCAAUUUUGUAAUGUGAGCAAACAUGCACUCUGGACUAUGUGAAGAUGCCAAACUAAUGUGGGAUUUUCUGAUCUGAGGUUUUUGUUUGGGCUGGCCUAGAUACAGGAAUCAACCACAAAUCUUGGACUGGGAACUAGGUUCAGAUUGAAUUUCCCAAACUACAGUUUUCUUCAGAUAACACAAGGUCCAUACCAUGGUUUUGUAAGUCACAACAGAUGAGUUAGAGUAUGCUCAUAAUGAGCCCAUUUAAAAUUUCAGACUCAAGAACAAAUGUGUAUCCACAUUAAAGAAUUAAUGUGAAGAAACGAUUUUAUUUCCUCUUAGCAUCCCCACAUGUGUGGUGAAAAACAUUUCCUCCCCGUCACUCAUCCUAAGGAGCAUAUUUGCCUAAAGCAGUUGUGAAUGAGUGAUGUAAUGAAAUCACCCUCAAUAGCCAGGCUGGGGAUUCAUCAAAAGAUCCAAAGAUCAUCUUAAAAACGUAUCAUUGCCUGUUGAGUUGUGGAGCCUAAUGGAAGUAAAAUUGGUCGACAAAGUCAGUUUUAUUUUCCCAGAGUUAUGGAUUUCAGUGUAUUUCCAAUACCCUGGUAAACGAAGCUCUGAACCUGUCUCUUGUUCAAUUCAAAGCAUUUAAUAACUGCAUAAAAAAAAAAAACAGGCUGUUGAAAUUUAUAUCCAUAAGUUGUCAUGUCUGCCUUAUUUUCAGUUUUCCUGUGAAGUUAUUAAAACAUUAUGUGAUUGUACU